rnacentral:tRNA from 1 species
AGCUUUAUAAGUUAAAAAGACUAUUAAAUUGCAAAUUUAAAAGUACAGCUUUGUUAAAGCUU